rnacentral:rRNA from 1 species
ACGAUGAAGCAUUCUUCGGAAUGUGGAAGAGUGGCGAACGGGUGAGGAACACGUAAGAAUCUGCCCCUCGGUCGGGGACAACUCUUGGAAACGAGAGCUAAUACCCGAUACGCUGUGGAGUGAAAGAAUUUCGCCGAGGGAUGAUCUUGCGUCUGAUUAGCUAGUUGGUACGGUAAUGGCGUACCAAGGCGACGAUCAGUAGCUGGUUUGAGAGGACGAUCAGACACACUGGAACUGAGACACGGUCCAGACUCCUACGGGAGGCAGCAGUGGGGAAUUUUCCGCAAUGGGCGAAAGCCUGACGGAGCAAUGCCGCGUGAGUGAAGAAGGCCCUUGGGUUGUAAAGCUCUUUCGUCGGGGAAGAAAAUGACUGUACCCGAAUAAGAAGGUCCGGCUAACUUCGUGCCAGCAGCCGCGGUAAU